AUACCAGCACUAAUGCAACGGAUCCCAUCAAAACUCCGCAGUUAAGCGUGCUUGGGCGAGAGUAGUACUAGGCUGGGUGACCUCCCGGACAGUCCUCGUGUUGCAUCCCUCUUUUCUUUUUCGGUUUUUCUCUAUUUUGUUUUGUUAAAAUUGUAUGACUCUAUAACUUUUAGACCGUGACGCCAAACUUCGCAUGUGAUACCUUUUCGGAAAGCCCAAAGAGAGCUCUCCGAUGAAUGAGGAAGGAAAAUGGAAUUCUUCUAUUGGUUUUUUUGCUAUUCCAAAUUUUGACCUUAAUGUACUUUUUUGGUCCUUUUCGUGAUAUUUGCUAUAUUACAGGGCAAAAAUUAUAUGAUCGGACAUUGUUUUCGAAUAUUUUGCAUGUAUCAAAGCUCUUAUAAACAAGAUAUGGUAUUCCUACAUGGCUGGUGUGACCCACGACAAAUGGAUCAUAAAGUCUUAAAAAAAAAGAUAGAUACGAUUGCAUUGCAUGUAGUAAACGGAUGCGAUCAUACCAGCACUAAUGCACCGGAUCCCAUCAAAACUACGCAGUUAAGCGUGCUUGGGCGAGAGUAGUACUAGGCUGGGUGACCUCCCGGAUAGUCCUCGUGUUGCAUCCCUCUUUUCUUUUUCGGUUUUUCUCUAUUUUGUUUUGUUAAAAUUGUAUGACUCUAUAACUUUUAGACCGUGAGGCCAAACUUUGCAUGUGAUACCUUUUCGGAAAGCCCAAAGAGAGCUCUCCGAUGAAUGAGGAAGGAAAAUGGAAUUCUUCUAUUGUUUGUUUUUUCUAUUCCAAAUUUUGACCUUAAUGUACUUUUUCGGGCUUUUUCGUGAUCUUUGCCAUAUUACGGGGCGAAAUUAUAUGUUCGGACAUUGGUUUUGAAUAUUUUGUAUGUAUCAAAGCUCUUAUAAACAAGAUAUGGUAUUCCUACAUGGCUGGCGUGACCCACAGCAAAUGGAUCAUAAAGUCUUCAAAAAAAGAAUAUAUACGAUUGCAUUGCAUGUAGUAACGGAUGCGAUCACACCAGCACUAAUGCACCAGAUCCAAUUAAAACUCCGCAGUUGAGCAUACUUGGGCGAGAGUAGUACUAGGAUGGGUGACCUCCCGGAAAGUCCUCGUGUUGCAUCCCUCUUUUCUUUUUUUUGUUAAAAAUGUACGACUUUAUAACUUUUAGACCAUGAGGCCAAACUUGGAAUGUGAUACCUUUUCGGAAAGCCCAAAGAGAGCUCUCCUAUGAAUGAGGAAAGAAAAUGGAAUUCUUCUAUUGGUUUUUUAUUCUACUCCAAAUUUUGACCUUAAUGUACUUUUUUGGUCUUUUUCGUGAUCUUUGCUAUAUGACAGGGCGAAAAUUAUAUGAUCGGACAUUGUUUUCGAAUAUGUUGCAUGUAUCAAAGCUCUUAUAAACAAGAUAGGGUAUUCCUACAUAGCUGGUGGGAGCCACGGCAAAUGGAUCUUAAAGUCUUCCAAAAAAGAAUAGAUACGAUUGCAUUGCAUGUAGUUAACGGAUGCGAUCAUACCAGCACUAAUGCAACGGAUCCCAUCAAAACUCCGCAGUUAAGCGUACUUGGGCAAGAGUAGUACUAGGAUGGGGGACCUACCAGAAAGUCCCCGUGGUGCAUCCGACUUUUUCUUUCGGUUUUUCUCUAUUUUGUUUUGCUAAAAAUGUAUGAUUCUAUAACGUUUAGACCGUCAGGCCAAACUUGGCAUGUGAUACCUUUUCGGAAGCCCAAAGAGAGCUCUCCGAUGAAUGAGGAAGCAAAAUGGAAUUCUUCUAUUGUUUUUUUUUUCUAUUCCAAAUUUUGAGCUUAAUGUACUUUUUCGGGCCUUUUCGUGAUCUUUGCUAUAUUACGGGGCGAAAAUUAUAUGUUUGGACAUUGUUUUCGAAUAUUUUGCAUGUAUCAAAGCUCAGAUAAACAAGAUAGGGUAUUCCUACAUACCUGGUGGGACCCACGGCAAAUGGAUAGUAAAAUCUUCAAAAAAGAAUAGAUACUAUUGCAUUGCAUGUAGUAAUGGAUGCGAUCAUAUCAGCACUAACGCACCGGAUCCCAUCAAAACUCCACAGUUAAGCGUGUUUGGGCGAGAGUAGUACUAGGAUGGGGGACCUACCAAAAAGUCCUCGUGGUGCAUCCCACUUUUUCUUUCGGUUUUUCUCUAUUUUGUUUUGUUAAAAAUGUAUGACUCUAUAACGUUUAGACCGUCAGGCCAAACUUGGCAUGUGAUACCUUUUCGGAAAGCCCAAAGAGAGCUCUCCGAUGAAUGAGGAAGCAAAAUGAAAUUCUUCUAUUGUUUUUUUUUCUAUUCCAAAUUUUGACCUUAAUGUAGUUUUUCGGGCCUUUUCGUGAUCUUUGCUAUGUUCGGACAUUGUUUUCGAAUAUUUUUCAUGUAUCAAAGCUCUUAUAAACAAGAUAUCGUAUUCCUACAUGGCUGGUGUGACCCACGACAAAUGGAUCAUAAAGUUUUCAAAAAAGAAUAGAUACGAUUGCAUUGCAUGUAGUAAACGGAUGCGAUCAUACCAGCACUAAUGCACCGGAUCCCAUCAAAACUCUACACUUAAGCGUGCUUGGGAGAGAGUAGUACUAGGAUGGGUGACCUCCAAGAAAGUCCUCGUGUUGCAUCCCUCUUUUCUUUUUUCGGUUUUUCUCUAUGUUUUUUUGUUAAAAUUGUAUGACUCUUUAACUUUUAGACCGUGAGGCCAAACUUCGCAUGUGAUACCUUUUCAGAAAGCCCAAAGAGAGCUCUCCGGUGAAUGAGGAAGGAAAAUUGAAUUUUUCUAUUGGUUUUUUUUUCUACUCCAAAUUUUGACGUUAAUGUACUUUUUGGGGCCUUUUCGUGAUCUUUGCUAUAUUACGGAGCGAAAAUUAUAUGUUUGGACAUUGUUUUCGAAUAUUUUGCAUGUAUCAAAGCUCUGAUAAACAAGAUAGGGUAUUCCUACAUAGCUGGUGGGACCCACGGCAAAUGGAUCGUAAAGUCUUCGAAAAAGAAUAGAUACGAUUGCAUUGCAUGUAGUAACGGAUGCGAUCAUACCAGCACUAACGCACCGGAUCCCAUCAAAACUGUGCAGUUAAGCGUGUUUGGGCGAGACUAGUACUAGGAUGGGUGACCUCACGG
rnacentral:lncRNA from 1 species